AUAGCAAAAUCUCAAUAGUUUAGGUAUGAGGCUGCGGUGAAAGCGGAGAGCUGUGGGGAGUUUCUAUGGGUGGUUUUUGCCCCUCUUUGUCUUUCUUCGCCGCCGAUGAUCACUCAAAUGAAAAAAAUAAAUUCCGAUUGCAAAACUAGCCUUUCGGUGAAAAUAAGUGUUACUCCGUUCACUUUUACUUUUGGGCAAUGAGGCUAUGAAGAUUAUUGUCUUCUGCGGAAGAUGAAACAGACAUAUUGCUAUUGAGCUCGAAAAAACUGUAACUUGGCGUGGCAGCUCAGAUGGGUCUGUGAGAUAUUGGAGAAAGUUCCCUUUCAGGGUGUUUUUACCUCUCAUAAGGCUAACUGAUGCUUGCAGCCAUGACGGUUUUUUCAAAGCUUUUUGGUUUUUGUCUGAGAAAAGGCGAAUCUGAGCCUACCCCAUUACUUUGAUUUUUGUUUUUGGUUUUCCCUAUGCUCCUUGAUUAUGUAGGCGAAAAUCUAAGCUCAUCCCUCGAUUUAACUUUUAGUUCCAUUUCUGAGACUGUAACUCGGAGAUGCUUUGUGGGAAUAAUUCUUAGCUUGAAGAUGGUUGAUUUUUCCAUAAUGUUAGUGGAAUAAUUUCUCCAAAAUUUAUGAGUUUUAGUAAUUGAAUGAGAAACGGCGAUGAUAGCAAAAAUCAUUGAUGGCCAAAGAUCAAAUAAGAAUGCCAAACUACCACAGAUCUUCUAUUUGUUGUGAAUUAAUCUCUUGACUAGUAUGGUAACUCAACCUUAACAGCACUGUAUUUUUAUUUGCGCCGAUUGAAACAAACUGAGUCUGAGUGUUGUCCGAUGUGGCAUUGCUAAAAAGAAGUCUUGUUAGUUACAAAUCAUGUCAAGAUCCCUUGCUGCAAGGUACUCUUGCAUUUUUGCAGACAAAAACUUGCAGGUGAUGGGUUUUUGUUCCCAUUAAGAUGAAGUACUAGUUUGAAGUGGGGCUAGAUUCUGAUGUGUAAGAAAUAUUGUAAAGAAACUACACUUAUGUUGAUGAAAACUCCAGGAACUGCGUUUGUCUUUAAGUUCCAAAUUUCCGUGAAAUCACUGUAGAUUCUAGCUACAGCAGGAACGAAAUGGAGAGAGGAGGAUUGGAAAUCAAUAAUGUUUGAUUGGGAUGAUCUAAUGUUCUUGAAAGAGCUAUUUUGCUUGGUCACAGCUAUGGACCUUGUUGAUAUGAGUCAAUAGCAUCUGCCCCAUAUCUUAGAUAUUUCUGAUAAGCAGGAUAAGUUGAUCCAGAUAUUCUCCAUUAGCUCCUUUAAGUAAUAACCACCACUACAACGACAACAUACUCAGUGCGAUCCAUAAGUGGGGUUUGGGAAGGGUGGAAUGUAGGCAACCCUAAGUAAUAAUACCUUGUUGAUAUGAGUCAAUAGCAUCUGCCCCAUAUCUUAGAUAUUUCUGAUAAGCAGGAUAAGUUGAUCCAGAUAUUCUCCAUUAGCUCCUUUAAGUAAUAACCACCACUACAACGACAACAUACUCAGUGCGAUCCAUAAGUGGGGUUUGGGAAGGGUGGAAUGUAGGCAACCCUAAGUAAUAAUGCCAAUUGAAGGUCUGUUAUUAAUGCAGAGAUGAAAGGAUAUCCCUUUAAUUAAUGCCUUUCUAGAGCUUUUGGCUAAAAUCAAGUAUCCAAGAACCACAAAUAGUAGUCUCUAGCAGGGUAAAUGGAGAUCCAGCCAAGCAUAGCUGCUCUAGUGAGUUAUGAGCUAUUGCGCUUGCAAUAAUUAUAUGUAAAAACUUCCAUUUACUUUUUAUUUGUAAUUCUAGGCAUUGAACAGGUAAAUGAAACCCUAUGUGUGUUCCUUUUUCUCUUUAAUGUGGACCUGUUUGCGAGUGUGCAUUACGAAAUUUGUCGAUAUCAGAAGGUGUACAUCUUUAUAAAACUGCCACCAACCACAACCAAAUAAAAAAUUCUCUGUUUUUUUAUUCUGGGGAUGUAAAUGCUAAGGUCUAUUUUUGAGUUACGUUAUUGCUAAAGAUGUACUUCUUAACACCUUAGGCUAUUUUUCUCCCCUUUUUUUUUGUUUUUUAAAACUCUCUGUAAUGAAUGACAAUGCUCUGCCUCUUUGAUAUGAGUGUGCCUAAAAGUGUUCGCUUUUUUACUUGAAUUUUAGGAAUGUGAGUGCUAACAUCUAUUUUUGAGUUUCCUUGUUGAUAAAUAUGCUCUUUUGAUUGAUACUUAAUCCUAUUCUCCACUCUCUUUUGAACUCUGUAAUGAAUGGGAAUGCUCUUGCUCUGAGAUUGGUGUGACUUAAUGUGUUUUUCUUUAUCUAGAAUCGUAGGCAUCAUUAUUAAAAGUGUACUUUCUGAUACUUUAGCCUUUAUUUUCUGUGUUUGAACUCUGUAUAAAGAAUCACAAUGCUGAUUCCUUGAUGUGGGUGUGCCUAAAUGUGUUUUCUUUUGUCUAGAAACUUAGGCAUGUGAAUACUGACGUCUAUAUUAAGAUACUUUGUUGCUGAGAUGUUUUAUUGGAGUAAUCCUUAUUGGUAAAGCGCAUAAUUUCAGUCAUGUUACCUGUAUUUUGAACUGUAAUUUGAUACUCAACUUUGAAAUAAUAUAAAACCACUCGAUCAACUUAUGCAGGUGCUAUCUCCGCACUUCAUGUUGUCAGAAUACAAGCCAAAAGCUAAGACAGGCGAUGCAUUUACAAGUGAGUAAGCUCAUUUUAUAAAUUAUGCAAAUUUUGUAGUUGUUGCCUGCUUUAUGAAUACCCACUAAUCUUUGAGAUCGAUUCCAUGCUAAUUUGUUUUUUGAGUCCUUGUUUCUAUUGGUAUUUUGCCGCAUUUUGUGAUUGACGUAAACAAGAUGUCAUACUUCUUGCUCUUCUCCUUCAAUUAAUUGUGUAUCCUGUGCAUAAAGGAAUUCAUCCUAAAUGAUGAGUAAUUCAAGUAAGCUAUGGAUUAACAUCCAAAUGAAGCUUUUUUGUCAUAGUUACACUGAUAGAUGAGAUUCCUUUAUAUGUGUUAUCCUAGGGUUCCUUUUUCUUGAUGAAUGAUCUCAUAGUUUGUUAUGUUGUAGAUAACAAGAAAUAUAAUACUUGAUAAAAAAAGAAGAGAGAUAAUACUUAUUAAAAAAGAGAUAUUACAUGAGCGCCGAAGGGAGUGGCAUAGUUGUCAAUGAAGUGAGUGAAAACCCUAGAGACUGGUUCAAAUCCCAACCGCAACAACAAAAAAGGCUGUUAUUUCUUCUUAUCUGUCUAUGCCUUGGUAUGUUAGAGUUAACCAAUACCUGUAUUGAUGAAAGGCAAGCAUGUAUCUAGUGGAAUUGUCGAGGUGUGCACAAUAAUGGUCCGGAUACAACCAUUAUAAAAAAGAAAUACAUGUCUUUUCUAAACUGCUUUUUGCUGAUCCUUGGAUGUUACAGAAGCAUUUUACCUCCCAAAAUUUUCCAGUAAGUUUUCGUGCACCUCUUACUAGAGCGGUUUUCAAAAAUCCGGUUAAGCAACAUAUACAUCGCUUUUGCUGCUUUGAAAGGGUGUUUAACAUUAUUUAAACGGAAAAGGGCCAACAUUGCCCCUAGACACUGUUAAAUUGAACAAUUUUGCCCUCCUUUAAAAAAGUUUCUCGUUCCUAUUCCUGCCGUUAACAAAGUGGCUCGAUUUUGCUCUUAUGGGCUAACAACAACAAUUAAAGGACAAAUUUAGACCAUUCACAAAGUCCAUUCUGGCACUACUUAGCAAAGAGGGAUAAGUUAGAAUAGGAAAAUCACAACAACUGUUAUUAUUCUGGAGAAUGAUUUGCAAGGCUUCAUAUCUUUCACCUCAUAACUCCCUGUAAAUUUUGUAAUGCAUAACUUCUCAUCCUUCUCAAUUACCUCAAAUCGAAUUCUGUAAAAAUUAAACCCAAGGUCAACAUAUCCACCUUCAAUCAGCACAGAUUGCUUGUAUAUUUUCUCAUUAUCCACUAUGUUGAAUCUCUCGAAAUAUGGUAUUCCUGGUGUACCUGUUUUAAUAAAAGUUAAACACGAUGCAUGUAGAAAAUACAUAUCAGAUGUUGAUCAAUAAUUUGUUGUAAUACUUUAGAUGAACAUCCUUAUGGUCAACUUUGGUCUCUGUGUGGGUGUAUAUAGUAUAGUUGAAUGUGACAUGCACUGUCUUGACUUCUUAUCUCUUUGGAGAUUCAUUCAAAAAGAAAUCUACAGUACCUUUCUUUAUAGUAUGAUCUUUCUGUGUCCAUGUCUUUGGCUAUGUAAUAUCCAGGUUGUUUUGGCUUAUCCACCUUAGUAAAUAGUCAUUCUUUGGUGAUAAUGAUGAUGAUUCUUCAGAGCAAAUGGUAUUAGGAAUUGAUAUGGCAAGAGACGCAUAUCUUGGUGAGAUAAGCCUAUCCUGGAAGGUUACUACCAUGCCCAUGAUGGUGUUGGAAAAUCUCAAUGCUGAACAUAAAGCCAAUUUAUGCUCACUUUUAAGCCAAAACAAUGUUAAAAGUAGGGCAUUAUUUCAUAGCUAAAGUAGGUGCUUGGCUUAUAUGUAUGGAGUAACUUUCUUCAAUUCUUGUGCUUUCCCUGCUCAUCCUUUAAUUUCUCUUGUAAAGUUCCAGCAAUUUUAAUCAAUGUGCAUCAUAUUUAGUUCGCAUAUAUACGUAUUAUCUUACAAAGAAAAGCCUUGUAGAACAGCACGUCCUUAAAGUACUUGUAAGGACAGACAUGUUCUUGUAAUGUGUUUUUAGUUCACAGUACUGCGACAAAAGACUGUUAGUGUUAGUUUGUGGUUUUGAUGAAUAUAGUUCUCUUAUGUGUGCUUUAAGUGAAGAAGGCAAAAACUCUAGCAACGAUUCUUUUUCCUCUAAAAAGA
rnacentral:lncRNA from 1 species